rnacentral:rRNA from 1 species
GAUGAACGCUGGCGGCGUGCCUAAUACAUGCAAGUCGAGCGAACAGACGAGGAGCUUGCUCCUCUGACGUUAGCGGCGGACGGGUGAGUAACACGUGGAUAACCUACCUAUAAGACUGGGAUAACUUCGGGAAACCGGAGCUAAUACCGGAUAAUAUAUUGAACCGCAUGGUUCAAUAGUGAAAGACGGUUUUGCUGUCACUUAUAGAUGGAUCCGCGCCGCAUUAGCUAGUUGGUAAGGUAACGGCUUACCAAGGCAACGAUGCGUAGCCGACCUGAGAGGGUGAUCGGCCACACUGGAACUGAGACACGGACCAGACUCCUACGGGAGGCAGCAGUAGGGAAUCUUCCGCAAUGGGCGAAAGCCUGACGGAGCAACGCCGCGUGAGUGAUGAAGGUCCUCGGAUCGUAAAACUCUGUUAUUAGGGAAGAACAAAUGUGUAAGUAACUAUGCACGUCUUGACGGUACCUAAUCAGAAAGCCACGGCUAACUACGUG